rnacentral:rRNA from 1 species
GACGAACGCUGGCGGCGUGCCUAAUACAUGCAAGUAGAACGCUGAAGGAAGGAGCUUGCUCUUUCCGGAUGAGUUGCGAACGGGUGAGUAACGCGUAGGUAACCUGCCUGGUAGCGGGGGAUAACUAUUGGAAACGAUAGCUAAUACCGCAUAACAGUAGAUAUCGCAUGAUAGCUGCUUGAAAGGUGCAAAUGCACCACUACCAGAUGGACCUGCGUUGUAUUAGCUAGUUGGUGAGGUAACGGCUCACCAAGGCAACGAUACAUAGCCGACCUGAGAGGGUGAUCGGCCACACUGGGACUGAGACACGGCCCAGACUCCUACGGGAGGCAGCAGUAGGGAAUCUUCGGCAAUGGACGGAAGUCUGACCGAGCAACGCCGCGUGAGUGAAGAAGGUUUUCGGAUCGUAAAGCUCUGUUGUAAGAGAAGAACGAGUGUGAGAGUGGAAAGUUCACACUGUGACGGUAUCUUACCAGAAAGGGACGGCUAACUACGUGCCAGCAGCCGCGGUAAUACGUAGGUCCCGAGCGUUGUCCGGAUUUAUUGGGCGUAAAGCGAGCGCAGGCGUUUAGAUAAGUCUGAAGUUAAAGGCUGUGGCUUAACCAUAGUACGCUUUGGAAACUGUUUAACUUGAGUGCAGAGGGGAGAGUGGAAUUCCUAUGUGUAGCGUUGUAAUGCGUAGAUAUUGGGAGGGACACCGGUGGCGAAUGCGGCUCUGUGGGUUGUUAUUGUGUGCUGAGGCUGCGAAAGUGUGGGGAGCAAAUGGG